rnacentral:rRNA from 1 species
CUUUUAAUUUUUAAAAGACCUUUUUCGAAAGGUAUACUUAAAGAGGGGCUUGCGCCACAUUAGUUAGUUGGUAAGGUAAAGGCUUACCAAGACGAUGAUGUGUAGCUGGACUGAGAGGUCGAACAGCCACAUUGGGACUGAGACACGCCCCAAACUCCUACGGGAGGCAGCAGUAAGGAAUUUUUGGCAAUGGAGGAAACUCUGACCGAGCGACGUCGCGUGAACAAUGAAGUACUUCGGUAUGUAAAGUUCUUUUAUUGAAAAAGAAAAAAUAGUGGAAAAACUAUCUUGACAUUAUUCAAUGAAUAAGCCCCGGCUAAUUAUGUGCCAGCAGCCGCGGUAAUACAUAAGGGGCGAGCGUUAUCCGGAAUUAUUGGGCGUAAAGGGUGCGUAGGCGGUUUGAUAAGUCUAUAGUUUAAAUGCAGUGCUUAACGCUAUAGCGCUAUAGAAACUGUCUGACUAGAGUUAGAUAGAGGCAAGCGGAAUUCCAUGUGUAGCGGUAAAAUGCGUAAAUAUAUGGAGGAACACCAGAGGCGUAGGCGGCUUGCUGGGUCUUAACUGACGCUGAGGCACGAAAGCGUGGGGAGCAAACAGGAUUAGAUACCCUGGUAGUCCACGCCGUAAACGAUGAGUACUAAGUGUCGGGUUUCGGCUCGGUACUGAAGUUAACACAUUAAGUACUCCGCCUGAGUAGUACGUACGCAAGUAUGAAACUUAAAGGAAUUGACGGGACCCCGCACAAGCGGUGGAUCAUGUUGUUUAAUUCGAAGAUACACGAAAAACCUUACCAGGUCUUGACAUAAUUUUGCGACAUUAUAGAAAUAUAAUGAAGGUUAUCAGAAUUACAGGUGGUGCAUGGUUGUCGUCAGCUCGUGUCGUGAGAUGUUAGGUUAAGUCCUAAAACGAGCGCAACCCUUGUCGUUAGUUGCGACCACGUAAUGGUGAGCACUUUAGCGAGACUGCCAAUGAAAAAUUGGAGGAAGGUGAGGAUUACGUCAAAUCAUCAUGCCCCUUAUGAUCUGGGCUACAAACGUGAUACAAUGGCUGUUACAAAGAGUAGCUACAACGUGAGUUUUUAGCCAAUCUCAAAAAAACAGUCUCAGUUCGGAUUGAAGUCUGCAACUCGACUUCAUGAAGUUGGAAUCGCUAGUAAUCGCGAAUCAGCAUGUCGCGGUGAAUACGUUCUCGGGGUUUGUACACACCGCCCGUCAAACCACGAAAGUUGAUAAUACCCGAAAGCGAUCGCCUAACUUCGUCAGAAGAGGGAGCCGUCUA